CCACUUAAACUACCAGAAAUUAAAAUUCUUUUUCAAAAUCCAAGAGAACACUUGAAGAGAGAACAGAGGAUGAGAGCUCACUGAAACCCUAAGAUUGCGAUAGUCAUCUCCACCGUCAUCUCCACCGCCGUCGCCGCCUCCUCUGCCAUUGCUGCCGUCGUCACUACUAAAGUUCACCUCCUUUAUGCUGUUGCCAGAAAGUUACUGAGAUCGAGCCAAGACGCCUCCUUUAUCAACGCGUGUCUAGAUCUUGUCGCAAUGCCCGAGUCUCUGAGACCAAGAGAAAGCACCUCUUCUGUCAACUCUCCUCCCUCAAUGACUCUCGUGUUUUCCAUCGGCAUGCUCUUCUUCGUUCCGAUCCACUCAUUCUCAAUUUUCGCACUCGGAACACCUUUGCGAGUGUAAGACUGUGAAGCUGCAUCUUUUGAGCAAUGCAUUUGUUACUACACUAAGGAAAGAUGAACAGUUUCUUUGGGCUGGUUCUGAGAUGGACUCUGAUAUAAGUUCGAGAUAUGGUGAAGACCUUGAUUGAAGCUCAGAAGUGGGCAGAAGGGAUAAGAGAUUGCAUAACAAAUUGAGUUUUGGUAUCAAGACUCAACUGUAAAGAAAGUUCAUUUAGAAUUCAUUGAUGAGUUAUUGAGAUUUAAUCCUCCACCUUGCAAUGAGCCUAAUUAUCAUAAAUUGAAGGAAUACGCUGAAGAAGCGAGGUUAUUAGUUCAGGAUAUUGAUACUGCUUUAUCGAGGUGUUCAAAGAUGUCUGAGUUGGAACUUUUGUACUCCAGAGCUUGUGGCUUACCCAUCUACAUGAAAGAGAAUAAGAAAUUAGUAAAUCACUUUUUGUUUGUGUGUAAAAGAAUUCUAUUUAAUAUGUGUACACAUGAAUGUAGGAUAUGUUUCUUACUUUCUUUGUAACUUGUAAGAAGGAAGAACCAACAAGAAACCAAACCAAAAGUUCUCUCUCUCCCUUUGUCGCUCCCAAUUAUAGUGUUUGAUUCAUCAA